AUGUCAUGUGAACUGGUGCCUGCGAAAGAGGAACCACAUGAUAGCAAUGGGGAUACAGUAAACAAAGAUGGGUGCCGCGACCAACUGUUAUCAUCAUGUGAACUACAAAGUGACAAAAAGAGGAGACUGAGAUCUAUUGUACUAUCAAAUGACUCGAGAGGAAGAAUGAAAUGCGGCAAGUACUACAGAAAGAAAGGGAAAAGAUGUCUGCAAGAACAGGAAAUCUGCUGGAGCAAAAGUAAAAAAAAAUACAAGGCUGGAAGACCAAGAGUACGAAGGUCAGAUGUUGUUGUUGUUGUUGUUGUUGUUUUGCAAAAAGAGAAGGUCAGAUGUUCACUGCGAAAAUGA
rnacentral:rRNA from 1 species